UACGGAGGGUGCGAGCGUUAAUCGGAAUUACUGGGCGUAAAGCGCGCGUAGGCGGCCUGAUAAGCCGGUUGUGAACGCCCCGGGCUCAAGCUGGGCACCGCAUCCGGAACUGUCAGGCUAGAGUGCAGGAGAGGAAGGUAGAAUUCCCGGUGUAGCGGUGAAAUGCGUAGAGAUCGGGAGGAAUACCAGUGGCGAAGGCGGACUUCUGGACUGACACUGACGCUGAGGUGCGAAAGCGUGGGUAGCAAACAGG
rnacentral:misc_RNA from 1 species